CGGGUUGGCUGGGGGUGCCCGAUACCGGGCUGAGAGACACCCUUGGAACCUGAUCCGGAUCAUGCCGGCGAAGGGAAGCCCGCCGUCGCUUCC
rnacentral:ncRNA from 2 species